rnacentral:rRNA from 1 species
GAUGAACGCUGGCGGCGUGCCUAAUACAUGCAAGUCGAGCGAAGGGACGAGGAGCUUGCUUUUCUUAUGUUAGCUGCGGACGGGUGAGUAACACGUGGAUAACCUACCUAUAAGACUGGGAUAACUUCGGGAAACCGUAGCUAAUACCGGAUAAUAUUUUGAAUCGCAUGGUUCAAAAUUGAAAGACGGUAUUGCUGUCACUUAUAGAUGAAUCCGCGCUGCAUUAGCUAGUUGGUAAGGUAACGGCUUACCAAGGCAACGAUGCAUAGCCGACCUGAGAGGGUGAUCGGCAACACUGGACCUGAGACACGGCCAAGACUCCUACGGGAGGAAGAAGUAGGGAAUCUUGGGCAAUGGGGGAAGGCCUGACGGAGCAACGCCGCGGAAUUGAUGAAGGUCUUCGGAUCGUAAACCUCGGUUUAUGGGGAGGAACAUAUGUGUAAGUAAAUGUGCACAUCUUGACGGUACCUUAUCAGAAAGCCACGGCUAACUACGUG